ACGAACUCUGUGUAUUGAUUGGUGCUUGCAUCAUGAUUUACAUUUGAGUGAGUGGCGAACUAGAGAGUUGCACGUGGGAAACCUGCCCAGAAGCGGGGGAUAAAUCGUAGAGACAGAUGCUAAUACCGCAUAACAACUUGUGACCGCAUGGUCCGAGUUUGAAAGAUAGCUUCGGCUAUCACUUUUGGAUGGUCCCGCGGCGUAUUAGCUAGAUGGUGAGGUAACGGCUCACCAUGGCAAUGAUACGUAGCCGACCUGAGAGGGUAAUCGGCCACAUUGGGACUGAGACACGGCCCAAACUCCUACGGGAGGCAGCAGUAGGGAAUCUUCCACAAUGGACGAAAGUCUGAUGGAGCAACGCCGCGUGAGUGAAGAAGGGUUUCGGCUCGUAAAACUCUGUUGUUGAAGAAGAACAUAUCUGAGAGUAACUGUUCAGGUAUUGACGGUAUUUAACCAGAAAGCCACGGCUAACUACGUGCCAGCAGCCGCGGUAAUACGUAGGUGGCAAGCGUUGUCCGGAUUUAUUGGGCGUAAAGCGAGCGCAGGCGGUUUUUUAAGUCUGAUGUGAAAGCCUUCGGCUCAACCGAAGAAGUGCAUCGGAAACUGGGAAACUUGAGUGCAGAAGAGGACAGUGGAACUCCAUGUGUAGCGGUGAAAUGCGUAGAUAUAUGGAAGAACACCAGUGGCGAAGGCGGCUGUCUGGUCUGUAACUGACGCUGAGGCUCGAAAGUAUGGGUAGCAAACAGGAUUAGAUUCCCUGGUAGUCCAUACCGUAAACGAUGAAUGCUAAGUGUUGGAGGGUUUCCGCCCUUCAGUGAUGCAGCUAACGCAUUAAGCAUUCCGCCUGGGGAGUACGGCCGCAAGGCUGAAACUCAAAGGAAUUGACGGGGGCCCGCACAAGCGGUGGAGCAUGUGGUUUAAUUUGAAGCUACGAGAAGAACCUUGCCAGGUCUUGACAUACUAUGCAAAUAUAAGAGAUUAGACGUUCCCUUUGGGGACAUGGAUACAGGUGGUGCAUGGUUGUCGUCAGCUCGUGUCGUGAGAUGUUGGGUUAAGUCCCGCAACGAGCGCAACCCUUAUUAUCAGUUGCCAGCAUUAAGUUGGGCACUCUGGUGAGACUGCCGGUGACAUACCGGAGGAAGGUGGGGAUGACGUCAAAUCAUCAUGCCCCUUAUGACCUGGGCUACACACGUGUUACAAUGGAUGGUACAACGAGUUGCGAACUCGCGUGAGUAAGCUAACAUUUUAAAGCCAUUCUCAGUUCGGAUGGUAGGCUUCAAAUUGCCUACAUGAAGUCGGAACGGUUUGUUAUCGCGAAUCAGCACGUCGCGGUGAAUAUGUUCCCGGUCUUUCUACACACCGCCCGUCACACCAAGAGA
rnacentral:rRNA from 2 species